rnacentral:rRNA from 1 species
AUUGAACGCUGGCGGCAGGCCUAACACAUGCAAGUCGAACGGUAACAGGAAGACGCUUGCUUCUUUGCUGACGAGUGGCGGACGGGUGAGUAAUGUCUGGGAAACUUCCUGAUGGAGGGGGAUAACUACUGGAAACGGUAGCUAAUACCGCAUAACGUCGCAAGACCAAAGAGGGGGACCUUCGGGCCUCUUGCCAUCGGAUGUGCCCAGAUGGGAUUAGCUAGUAGGUGGGGUAACGGCUCACCUAGGCGACGAUCCCUAGCUGGUCUGAGAGGAUGACCAGCCACACUGGAACUGAGACACGGUCCAGACUCCUACGGGAGGCAGCAGUGGGGAAUAUUGCACAAUGGGCGCAAGCCUGAUGCAGCCAUGCCGCGUGUAUGAAGAAGGCCUUCGGGUUGUAAAGUACUUUCAGCGGGGAGGAAGGGAGUAAAGUUAAUACCUUGGCUCAUUGACGUUACCCGCAGAAGAAGCACCGGCUAACUCCGUG